rnacentral:rRNA from 1 species
CCUACGGGAGGCAGCAGUGGGGAAUCUUGCACAAUGGGGGAAACCCUGAUGCAGCGACGCCGCGUGAGUGAAGAAGUAUUUCGGUACGUAAAGCUCUAUCAGCAGGGAAGAAAAUGACGGUGCCUGAUUAAGAAGCCCCGGAUAACUACGAGCCAGCAGCCGCGGUAAUACGUAGGUGGCAAGCGUUAUCCGGAUUUACUGGGUGAAAAGGGAGCGUAGAUGGGAGCGCAAGUCUGAAGUGAAAUGCCGGGGCUUAACCCCGGAACUGCUUUGGAAACUGGGCAGCUAGAGUGCAGGAGAGGUAAGUGGAAUUCCGAGUGUAGCGGUGAAAUGCGUAGAUAUUAGGAGGAACACCAGUGGCGAAGGCGGCUUACUGGACUGUAACUGACGUUGAGGCUCGAAAGCGUGGGGAGCAAACAGGAUUAGAUACCCUUGUAGUC